rnacentral:rRNA from 1 species
UACGAAGGGGGCUAGCGUUGCUCGGAAUCACUGGGCGUAAAGCGCACGUAGGCGGACUCUUAAGUCGGGGGUGAAAUCCUGGAGCUCAACUCCAGAACUGCCUUCGAUACUGGAGAGCUUGAGUUCGGGAGAGGUGAGUGGAACUGCGAGUGUAGAGGUGAAAUUCGUAGAUAUUCGCAAGAACACCAGUGGCGAAGGCGGCUCACUGGCCCGAUACUGACGCUGAGGUGCGAAAGCGUGGGGAGCAAACAGG